CCCUUAGAUGUUCUGGGCCGCACGCGCGCUACACUGAUGCAUUCAACGAGCCUAUCCUUGACCGACAGGUCCGGGUAAUCUUUGAAUCUGCAUCGUGACGGGGAUAGAUUAUUGCAAUUAUUGGUCUUCAACGAGGAAUUCCUAGUAGACGUAGUUCAUCAGACUGCAUCGAUUACGUCCCUGCCCUUUGUACACACCGCCCGUCGCUCCUACCGAUUGAAUGCUCAGGUGAGCCAUUCGGACUUUCAUCAUGCUGGUUUCCAGUUUUGAUGAAGGAAAGUCUUGCGAACCUUAUCAUUUAGAGGAAGGAGAAGUCGUAACA
rnacentral:rRNA from 1 species